rnacentral:rRNA from 1 species
CCUACGUGUGGCUGCAGUGGGGAAUAUUGGACAAUGGGCGAAAGCCUGAUCCAGCCAUGCCGCGUGUGUGAAGAAGGCCUUCGGGUUGUAAAGCACUUUCAGUGGGGAAGAAAGCCUUGGGGCUAAUACCCUCGAGGAAGGACAUCACCCACAGAAGAAGCACCGGCUAACUCCGUGCCAGCAGCCGCGGUAAUACGGAGGGUGCGAGCGUUAAUCGGAAUUACUGGGCGUAAAGCGCGCGUAGGCGGUCUGAUAAGCCGGUUGUGAAAGCCCCGGGCUCAACCUGGGAACGGCAUCCGGAACUGUCAGGCUAGAGUGCAGGAGAGGAAGGUAGAAUUCCCGGUGUAGCGGUGAAAUGCGUAGAGAUCGGGAGGAAUACCAGUGGCGAAGGCGGCCUUCUGGACUGACACUGACGCUGAGGUGCGAAAGCGUGGGUAGCAAACAGGAUUAGAUACCCCAGUAGUC